GAUUAAAUGGCUGAAUAGUAGGCGAUAAAUUGUAAAUUUAUUUAUGAGAAAGUUUCUCUUUAAUCA
rnacentral:tRNA from 1 species